rnacentral:tRNA from 1 species
AGAAGCUUAGGAUAAUGACCAAACCAAGAGCCUUCAAAGCUCCAAAUGAGAGUGAAAGCCUUUCAGCUUCUG